AGCUUCAACAUAACCACGCACUUCCUGAGCCAUCCAUCGAAGUUCUUCUUCAGGAUCCGCCGGUCUUCUAGUCAUUGUUUCAAGAGAUCCAUCUGAAAGACUUUGCCGGAUAGGUGGGGCAGAUUCACCCUUUACUUGACCGCCUUUAGAGCUGAUGACAAUUCGCAAUUUGUUUAACCACUCUGUCUUAUCUGCCACACUCUCAGCCUUCAAGACAACAGCGCUGUGUGCCUUUAAAACAGUUUUAUAUGGAACGCGACUUGUUAUCUUAAAUACAAGAUUGGGUGUUUUUGCAACAUCAGGCCCAUUUGCCUUUUUGUCCUUCGAACUUUUGGUAGGUGCAGGAGCUUCUUCUUCAUCAGCAACUUCUUCAAGAAUACAUUCCUCCAAUGUUAUGACACCACGAAAAUGGCGUUCCUCUUGUUUCUUCGUGUAUCCAAGCUUUCCAGUUUUCUCGUUCAAAACAAACC
rnacentral:misc_RNA from 1 species